rnacentral:sRNA from 1 species
AGUCUAGUCCUUCGGUUUGAGGAAGGCUUGGCAGCAUGAAGCUAAAGCGUCCGAAGCGUUCAGCAGCGGUGGAAGAGUGAACGGUGGGAGGACGUCUCCCUCCUGAUGCUUAAUGGUUGAAGGUUUACUGGCAAGUGUCGCUGCCAUGGCAGCCUGCUGCUUAUUGAGUCCAUCCAUGAUGCAAGAGAAUGCCGCGAAGGUGACACAGCUGUGGAACAUCGCUUGCGGUGCACCUGGUUCAGGAGAAUGAAGAAAAACAUAUGAGCAUAUAGUGACUCACAUACUAUCAUCUUUCCCUCGCAAUCUUCUCAGCAAGCACAGGAUAAAACUUUGGACACCAGACAGUGCUGCGAAAGUCUAAUACAAAAAUCCAGCACUGCUGAGUGAACCCUUCAUACCUUUGUUAGUGAGCAAACCUUGCCCUGGGGAAAAAGGAGCCGACGAAGGCGCCGGCGGCGAGGUCCCCGGCGGAGCGGGCGAGGCAGACGACGGGCGCGGCGAGGUGCGGGGGCUGCCCGCCGCCGACGCCGAGGUCGUCGUCCUCCCACUCGCGCCCGCGCCCUCGACCUCGCCUCGCCGCCAUCUCUCUCCUCGCUUUGCUGUUUUGCUUUUUUGCUCUUCUCCUCGACUCUUCGUUAUCUUGAUG